UACGUAGGGUGGGAGCGUUGUCCGGAAUUAUUGGGCGUAAAGAGCUCGUAGGCGGUCUGUCGCGUCGAUCGUGAAAACUUGGGGCUUAACCCUGAGCUUGCGGUCGAUACGGGCAUGACUGGAGUUCGGCAGGGGAGACUGGAAUUCCUGGUGUAGCGGUGAAAUGCGCAGAUAUCAGGAGGAACACCGGUGGCGAAGGCGGGUCUCUGGGCCGAUACUGACGCUGAGGAGCGAAAGCGUGGGGAGCGAACAGG
rnacentral:rRNA from 1 species